CAUAAAAUUUAUUCAAUGAAGUCAUUACAUUAGACUUGAGUUUGGGUUAAAUUAUUAUGUGUUAGAAAAGCAGAUUCAUGAAGUAAUACAAAAACAGUGAUGAAUGUUUUCUCCUAUGAGGAGUGUAAAUGGAACUAUAGGAGUGUGCAUUCAAGUGUGUGUCUAACUUGAAAUGAAAGCAGAAGGACUGUUUGUAGAGUUUGAGAGGGCAGGUGUUUGGGAGGGAAAGCCCGACAGACACGUAUGAAUUAGAAAGAGAACAGUACAAUGACAUACAUGUAUAAAAUAUCAUAAGGAAACAUUGAUUCCCACACUUAAUAAAAUUUAACGCAAGAAAAAGAAAGCCACACAGACAAAUCUAUUGUAUUUUGUGAGACUCAGUCCAGCAAGGAUAGCUUCUUAAUCUUCCCUGAAAGGAAGCAUUCUACAUGUCACAUAAAAGCAAAUUCUUGUGCUAAAGUUACCCCUCCAACUCCUAACCCCUACUUCUUAAGGGGUUUCAAACAAAUAUUUGGAUUCUAAGAAAAUACUUAAGGGAGGGAAGGCAAAGCAAGAUCUUCCCCUACAAUAUACAUGCUUAGGAAAGAAGUUUGUACAGGCAACUUGUGACUUAGAAAUGAGAAGAUUAAGUAUUAUUUAACAAGUUUGAAAGUCAAAUCUUGAUGGAGAUAACCAUGAGCCAGUAUAUUUAUACAUGAAAUGCAUUUUAGUCUAUAACAGUAACUCCAGAUAAAGACAUAAGAUGAUUUUUAUUUCAGUUGGUGAAUAAACCUGUGAAUAAACUUCUGAGGUCCUCAAAGAAACAAGCCUACAGUAAGAACGUGGGUCACAGUAUCUUUAAGGCUUGGCAAAUUAAAAAAUAAUUGAAGAAGUAUACCAUGGAAAACUGAAGACUUGAGAAAGAGUUUGGUUUGAGUCCAUGGGCAGUUUUCAGAAUGAAUUUCAGAAAAGUCUAUGCUUUGUGAAGGCCUUCAAGAACUCUGCACUGUGGAGCACAACUUGAUUUACUCGAGAUUGUUGAUCCAGACAGCAGCUUGAAAAUUCUAUGACUGGAAAGAGGAAAUUCUAUGACUGAAAAUUCUAUGACUUGGAAGAGCCCAUUUGUACUUCUCAAGACAAAAUGAAAAGGAGAAAGAGGCAUUAGUCACUUGGACAGACUUUUCUUUGUCUCGAAACAAGAUUAUUUAUUUUGGAACCACCAAGAGUAAGGAAAGCUGCUGAACUGAGGAACAGUGGGAGGGCAUCUUACCACAGUGCUAAUGAAGGAACCUUAGCUGCUGCGCCACUCCUCUCAUGUUCUCACACAUUUCCCGUGGUUGAGGUUGCAGAGUCUUGAUGGUAGCCUAGUCCAGCAAUUAAGAUCCAAGAAGAAAUACAUACCCAAGGCUACACCAGGCAGCAGAGGAGUGAAAACGUCAGUGGUCUGUGCUGAUGCUAAGUCAGAAAGGAGACAUGAGAAGGUAGAGGAGCCCUUCCUCCUGGAGUCUAGCUGAAGCCUCACAUCAGCAAAGUACCAGGAAAUCCAGUAAUUAAUAAUGGCCUGUCUCCCUUUGCAGCAGUUUUCUAUGGAUCUCAACAUCAAUCUCAUUUACAGAGAAAGAACAUAUAUUAAAUUCCGGACUCCCUAGUGGCUUAUGGCUUUAUUUUAUCAGAUUAUAAGUCUAUUCAAGACAUUUCUGGAGCUAACUCCCUAUAAUCUCAGUUAACCAAACAGGGAAAGAAAAUAAAAUGGUUUCUUAAUAACCUUUUGAGAUGAAACUUGAAAAUACUCAAAAUGGCAAAUAAGGAUGCUAAGUCCCUUAUUGUGGCCCUUCUUGUAGGUGUUGUUUCCAUAUAGAAUUCAGCCACUUAAUGACUUGCUGAGUUUCAGUGAAAAUAACCUAAAGUUAUGAACAAAUUUGAAAACAUGAUUUUUGUAAUGGUCAAUAGCAUUAUGAAAAGAAUUUAUUUUCAUUACUAUCAUAUCAGAUGUGCCUGAACAUUUUAUUUACACAAGUCUUAGCUUUCCUAUCACUGCUUAAUAAAAUCAUAAAUGUACAGAUGUGCUGGUGUGUCUGCAAUCCAAUCAUUCAGAAGACUACUGUAAGUUGUAGGCCUGCAUGAUCCAAAUAGCUAGCUCUAGACUUCUCAGGUCUUCAGAGAGGUCCUGUCACUAAUUAGAACUCAACAUCACCAUUAACAUCCAUCAGACCUCAACAGGACUCUUUUCAGUUAUGUGAGCUAACUUUUGGUUAUUGUUCUUAAAGUGUGUAGAAUAAUAAAACAUCAAAGACAGGGAAAACUCAGAAUUGCUCUCCACACCUCUAACAACACAGACAUCCUAGAAGCAUAUCUAUUUCAGCCAUCUGCUACUGGUCAAUGGUUUGUUGUGAGCAUUCAUUGAUGAUUAAUAAUAAGUUCCAGAGAGAAAUUGCAUAUAAUGUAUGAUUAUAGAAAAAGAGAUUGUUUAUUUAGAUGAGGUAAAUUUAUUUUUUUUUGAGAAUUAAUAUAUGAAUUCUGUGUCUAUAUCAUCUCUCUCCCUCCCAGAGUGGAUAAAUACAUUUAUUCUUAGUUUAUUUUUGUCUACAAUCUAUUUUGAUUAUUUUAUCCUCCCUCAACUCUUCCCAGAUUCUCCCAUCCCAUACAUAUCCCAUUCUCUCUUCAGCACCUUUUAUUUUUCUCCCCCUCAAAUUCAUAACUUUUUUAAACCAAAUAUUAUACACAUCACAUAUGAAUAUAUAAAUUUAGCCUACUGAGUUAUUUAUUCUUGCUUGUAUGUAUGUAUAUAUAUAUAUUUUUUUUCCACAAAUGACCAGUUUGUAUUGAAUGACUCAUCUGAGGCUCAUUUCUAGAGACAAAUGAUUCUCCCUCUCUCAAAAAUUAAAAUAAAAAUAAAAAAUGAAGUUUAAGUAAAAACAUUAAAUCUUUUCAUUUAAUUAAGACUGAGGCCAUUGGGCUGUGCCAUCAAAUAGUAUUUUAUGUUCUUUCUCUUUCUCUCUCUCUCUCUUUAUCCCUUUCUCUCCUUCCCUUUCAAUACCUCAGGCAUGCCAUCUAUGAAAUGAUAACACCUGCGGGCCUCACUAGUAUCAAGCCUAUAAAGACUUAGUGCUUUUAAGCUUCUAAACCUGUUAGGUAAAUAAGCCAUGGGUCUUUAUUUGGAGUCAAUUUAUUUGGAGAUUUUGUCAUAGUAAAUCAAAGAUAAAAGUGCAUGUUUGUGUAUGCUUCCUUUAUAACCUACUAAUCCAAAUGUCUUCCAUUAUGUAAUUUUAAUAUAGUGUCUGUCCCAGUAGAUUGAUUUCAAAAUGACAGUUAACUGAACUAUGGGUAUUAUUCAACGAAUGUCAGCAUUUUUAUUAAUGUAUAUUGAUAUAAUUGCAAAU